rnacentral:ribozyme from 1 species
UUGGAAGUUUAAAGCCAUAGCAGAAGCACUCAUGGUGUGGUCCUGCCAGAUUCCAAUGAAUCUGUAAAUUCUGCU